rnacentral:rRNA from 1 species
UACGUAGGUGGCAAGCGUUGUUCGGAUUUACUGGGCGUAAAGGGAGCGUAGGUGGUUAGGUAAGCCCUCCGGGAAAUCUUCAGGCUUAACCUGAAAAGGUCGGGGGGGACUGCCUAGCUAGAGGGCGGGAGAGGAGCGCGGAAUUCCCGGUGUAGCGGUGAAAUGCGUAGAUAUCAGGAGGAACACCGGUGGCGAAGGCGGCUCACUGGCUCGUAACUGACGCUCAUGCACGACAGCGUGGGGAUCAAACAGG